rnacentral:rRNA from 1 species
UACGUAGGUGGCAAGCGUUGUCCGGAAUUAUUGGGCGUAAAGAGUGCGUAGGCGGUCUAUUAAGUUCCAUUUGAAGGCCCAUGGCUUAACCAUGGAGGGUGAUGGGAAACUGGUAGACUUGAGUACAGGAGAGGAAGGUGGAAUUCCACGUGUAGCGGUGAAAUGCGUAGAUAUGUGGAGGAACACCAGUGGCGAAGGCGGCCUUCUGGCCUGAGUCUGACGCUGAGGCACGAAAGCGUGGGUAGCAAACAGG